rnacentral:lncRNA from 1 species
GUUAGUGGGAAAAACAUAUACUGCAGGGGCGAAGGUCCUAUCCUGCACACGAAUCUGGACAAAGUACUAGGAGGCUGCCUUAAACAGAAGAGAAUUGCACUGCUACAGGCCUGCCCAAAGAAGUAUCUGGUUGGUAUUUAUUUUCUAUUAAGCUUUUAAAAAUUACUUGAAGUUAAAAUGUAAUAUAAAAUCUCAUAACAUGCUUGUAAUUCAUUUCUAUGAAUAUACUUGUUCAGUUGGAUCCCACUAUUUACUGAGGAUGAUAAGGAAAAAGCAUUAAAGGACCACUAUAGUGCCAGGAAAACAUACUCGUUUUCCUGGCACUAUAGUGCCCUGAGGGUGUAAGUAAGCUCAACAUCACACCUCCAGUAUUUGGUGUUUUCUCCAGGAAACAAGCAUCUUGGAACAUGUAAAGAACAUCUUAAAGUAAAUGCAAUUUUAAUCUAUGAGAGAGUAGAACACAUGAGAAAACAGCUUUUCUGGGUAUCAAGUUUGUUCUCGAGUAUCAAAAUUGCUCAAAAUCCUGUGAAAAGUUUAGUCUGGUUGAAAAUGGUUCAUACUUAACGUCAAGAGUCAAAUAUUGAUGCUGCUUAAAAUGUCGACUUUGACAAUUAAUUUCACAUUGAGAGUGUUGAAUUAGUGUUUAGGAUGUAGGGAAACAUUCUUUAGACACAAUUUUGACACAAUCAACAUUUUACUAAAAAUGUACUUGAAUUUAUGGUGCUCAGUAUUAAAUCAUUACAACUGUAAUCUAAAUUUUUUUUUUCAUAAACAAACAAUACAGGAAAAAAAUCCACAAAGUAGAUUUGUUUGCAUUACUUAGGACUCAAAUAUUUCAAAGACUGCAUUGCUGUUAAAUGGAUGCUGUAGUGCCAGGAAUAAAAGCUGUAUUCUUGGCACUACCAAUCCCUUUGCCUCCCUCCUCCAUCGCAUGCCCUCCAUCGCAUGCCCUCCUACCCAGUAAAUAAAGGGUUAAAAACCCUUUAUUUACUUAACUUAUCUUACUUACCUUAUACCUUAUGUCCUGAUACCUUAUGUUAUGAAUCAAUGCUUUCCUAUGGGAAAAAUCUGAUUAUGGAUGCAGAGCAUGGGGACAUCCAGUUUCAGAUAACGAACCAAAAGUCCGUUACGAUUCCGGAAGCGCCCCCCAGUGGCUGUCUGGUAAACAGCCACUAAGGGCAGACUUAAAACUGCAAUGUAAACUAAGUGCAAAAGGGACACAGCACCCAGACUACUUCAAAUAGCUGAAGUGGUCUGGGUGCCUACUGUGUCCCUUUAGGUUAAUGGUUAAAAUGUUAUUACACCCUUCAUAACCACUUCUGCUUUUAGAAUGAGUCUGCAAGGGGAAAUAUGUAUGCCCCUCUUUCCCUCCCUUGCUCGUGCCUUCCCUCUCUAAUCCUCCUCAUCUCCCUGCAUUGGGAUUUAUUUGUUAAUUUUUUUAAAAUAUUGCCCAUCUCUGUACAUCCUGCCCUCAUCCACACCACACUCUCUCUUCCUCCGUUCGCUAGUCUAUGUGAUCGGUCUAAUCAAAUGCUUCUCGUAGAGAAGCAUUUGACUGAGGCUCAGAAAAGUAAGAAGUGAUGCAUUGUGAUGAUGGACUGUGUGGAAAUGCCCAAUGUAAGUUUAUUCUUAUUGUACAGCUUAAGAGCUUUUAAAAAAAAAAAAAAAAAAGUGGACCAAUUAGUAGUGUCCAAUAGUACAUUAUAAAUAAAUAAAUAAAAAGUAAACAAAAGUUUAAAAAAUAAAUAAAAUACAUUUUAUAUUAAUAAUAUAUAUUUAAACAAAUGUUAUAGUAACUCUUUAAUAUGGGGAAAGUGUGAUAUGCAAGGAGAUAUUUAUAUAUAUUUAAUAACAAUCACUGAAUUCAAACCCACGUUCAGUAUUUGUACAGAAAAGAUAUAAAAGGGAUUUUAUUAUCUGUGGAAGUCUUGUCAAUUUUGCGAUAACUAUUCAAUCACCAAACUCUUGAGCAAUUUAAUCAUAUUUUUGUUUGCUUUUUACAUACAGGUACACACUGACAAAAAAGGUACAGCCCAUUUUAUUACUAGAAUUUUCAGACUUAGAUGUUUUGACAUAUUGAUUUCACUAGAUCAAGCUUCUAACUGGUGGACAUUUUUGGCCUGUGUGUUUCUGUGGUGAAAAAAAGGCCCUAACAUUCAAAUUAUCCUCACUAUGGCAUGCCACUUGCAAACAUACAUUGAUGUGAUUAGAUAUUCUGAAUCUCAGGCUAUUUCAAACAGCAUAUUUUCUAAAUCUAAAAUAUUCAAUAUGUAUUCCGCUAUAGCCUCUCUGCACAUUAAAAGGCCUUUGUCAAGUAACAGGGUCAAGUUCGAAAUAUGUCCUUACGUUGACUAGCAUGUGGCCCAGUGAUAAUAAUAGGGUUUUUCACUAAAGUGAGUAUUGUAAAUUUAAAGUGAAUUUCAAACUUAAGACCAAAAUAGAAGAACUGGAAAAAAUGUUCCAAGUCAGUUAUGUUCAGGGCCGGACUGGGAAUUAAAAGCAGCCCUGGAAAAAAAAUAUUUACCAGCCCCAUAAUGCGUCGCGCCAGCAUAGUGUGCAGAUACAGAGUUAGAACAGAUAACUUAAAAUUAAAAAGUACUUCAACGUAAAAAGCGCACUCAUAGGCUUCAAAAUAAACAAAAGUGCAGAUUUAUUUUAAGCAGACAUGCCUUUGCAUGUAAUCAAUGUUUCAGUCCAACUACCUUGACAUAUUAAGGAAAGCUUGUUAAUGGGACUGAAAUGGUGAAUGUAUGUAGGGCACAACUGUAAAAAAUGUUUAUUUUGAAGUCCUGUGGGUGUGCUCUUCACUUUAAAUAUGUUAUUGUGCUGGAGUAUGCACCUAGCAACAAGACUGGGCCAAUAUCUGCUCAUUACAUAUGGUACAUAUUAAUGAAAUUUCUCUGUGUAUUAUGCAUUUAUAAAUGUACAUUAAUAUGUGUAAAUAUAAUAGGUAUAUAUAUAUAUAUAUAUAUAUAUAUAACUAAUACACACAUUAAUAUACAUGUCAUAUACUAGUGGCGGAUCCAGAGCCUGAGCCUGAGAGGGGCACUUGUAGAUUAUUUAAAGAAAUAUUCCAUGCACAAUAACCACUACUUCUCUGUGUAGUGGUUAUGGUGCCAGGAGCGCCGGCACCCCCUCCCAGAGUAAGUCAUCAAACCAUUUAAGAACAGUUUGACAACUUACCUGGAGUCUUCUGGGAUAUGGGACUGUAGUAGGGUAUAGGAGCAGUGGUGCAAUGUGUGUGAAAGGUUCAGUGUGUGGGUGAGCAGUGUGUACAUGUGUAUGGUGUGUGUGUGUGGGGGCAGUGUGUGAAUGUGUAUGGUGUGUGUGUGUGUGGGGCAGUGUGUGUGUAUGGGGGUAGAGUUCACUCCUACUACUGGGACCACCAGGAAGUGGUGAGAGUGAACUCUAGCCCGUAGCUCCAGGGCUAGAGUUCACCCUCGUGAGAGCCGGAGCAUUGCCCCAGGUCCUCUCUUCCUCCCCUGCCGACUGGUGAUAUAUACUGCCCCUAUGUGUGUCUCUUUAUCUCCAGCCCCUCUGUGUGUCUUUUUGUCUCCCCCAGUCACUCUGUAUGUUUCUUUCUCCUCCUCACUGCUCCUCUGUGUCAAUGUCUCCCCUCUCCUUCCCAGUCUCUCUCUCCCCCCUCUGCCUCUUUCUUCCCCUCCCCUUGUGUGUCUCUCUCUCAUUUCACCCUCUUUGUCUCUCUCUUCCCCCUCUGACUCUUUCACCCCCUUUCCCUGUGUCUCUUCCUCCCCCCUUUCCCUGUGUCUCUCCCUCCUCCCCAUCUCUCUCCCUCCCCCCUUUCCCUGUGUCUCUCCCCCCUCCUCCCAUCUCUCCCCUCCCCCCAUUUCCCUGUGUGUCUCUCUCCAUCUCUCUCCCACCUCCCCCCUUUCCUGUGUCCUCCCCUCCUCCCAUCUCCCUCCUCCCCCUUUCCCUGUGUUUCUCCCCAUCUCCUCCCCCCAGCUUUCCUGUGUCUCCCCCAUCUCUCUCCCUCCCCCCCCCUUUUCCUGUGUCUCUCUUUCAUCUCUCUCCCUUGUGUCUCUCCCCCUCCUCCCCCAUCUCUCUCCCUCCCCUUUCCCUGUGUCUCUCCCUCCUCCCUCCCUCCUUUCCCUGUGUCUCCUCCCCAUCUCUCUCCCUCCCCUCCCCUCCCUCCCCUUUCCCUGUGAAAAUGCUCCCAUCUCCCUCCCCCCUUUCCUGUGUCUCGCCUCCCCCUCCCUCCUUUCCUGUAUCCUCCCCAUCUCUCCCUCCCCCCUUUCUCUGUGUCUCUCCCAUCUCUCCCUCCCCUUUCCUGUGUCUCUCCCCUCCUCCCUCCCCUUUUCCCUGUGCCUCUCCCCAUCUCUCUCCUCCCCUUUCCUGUGUCUCUCCCUCCCCCUCCCCCCUCUGUGUCUCUCCCGUCUCCCUCCCCCUUUCCUGUGUCUCCUCCUCCCCCUCCCUCCCCUUUCCUGUGUCUCAUCUCUCCUCCCCUUUUCUCUGUGUCUCUCCCCUCCCUCCCCCCUUUCCCUGUGUCUCUCCCCAUCUCUCUCCUCCCCCUUUCCUGUGUCUCUCCCCUCCUCCCACUCCUCCUUUCCUGUGUCUCUCCUCCUCCCUCCUCCCCUUUCCUGUGUCUCUCCUCCCCCCUCCUCCCCCCCCUUUCCUGUGUCUCUCCCAUCUCUCUCCCUCCCCCCCCUUUCCCUGUGUCUCUCCCUCCUCCCUCUAUUCCCUUCUCCUCCCCUUUACCUGGAGAAGUCAGGGGGCCGGCGGCGUUCCUGGCUGGAGCCGCCGGGCCGGGUGGCAGCUUCCCGGUCUGGCGGCCCUGCUCCUGUCACUGCUGUGGCUGAUGGAGGAGGAGCAUGUCUCUGUACCAUGCUCCCUCGCGGUUCCUGUGCCGGGAGGGAGCAUGGUACAGAGACAUGCUCCUCCUCCAUCAGCCACAGCAGUGAGAGGAGUGCCGCUGGACCGGGGAAGCUGCCACCCGGCCCGGCGGCUCCAGCCAGGAAUGCGGCCGGCCCCCUGACUUCUCCAGGUAAAGGGGGGGAGAGGGGAAUAGAGGGAAAUUUCCCGGUAUCCCGGUGGGCCAGUCCGGCCCUGGUUAUGUUGGCCUUAAAUUUGAAACUGCCUUUGAAUUCCCAACAUUUUUAUAUCUAAUGUUAAUGGAAUAUUUGAUAUAAUAAGUUAAAUCUAUCAUUUUUUUUCAUUUGUUGCUUCUUUGCACCCUGACUAUAACACAACAGAUUUUUGAAUAUAUGAGUGUUUUUGUGUAAAGUUUGCAAAUGCAUGGUGUGUAUUAUUGUGUAGUGUUAGAAUGCAGGAGUGUAUUGACAUAUGAACACACACAUGCACAAAUACACUCAAAGAAAUACACGCACAAUGACACACACUUACCAGUGGGGGAUUAAGGUUGACCAGUGUCCUAGGCAGGGUGCCACACGAGGGCCUUCUCCUAGAGCCCUAGGCUUGCAUCUACACACCAUAAUCUACGUAAACCUCUAGGUCAGUAGUUCCCAAACCUUUUUUCAGUUGAGUAACCCUUGACAGCCUAUUUUCCAUAAAUUGUAACCCUCAUAUUAGUAAAAUGUUUGUAAUAAAUAGAAUUGCUGUUAUUUCAAAUGUAUAAAUGUUUCCACUGCCCCAUAUCCCCUUUUUAUGGCCAUGGGCUUUCCCUGCUCCUCCUCUGCCCCAAGCUCUUGCCUCUUUUAAUCUGCCCCAGACUCAUACCACUUCUCCCAUGCCCCAGACUCCAGCUGCUUCUCACAGUGCAGAGAGAUAGAGUGACACACAUGCAGAUCCAGAGAUACACUGAUAUACAUACUAACAUACAUGCACAUACACAGAUACACACACUGACACACACAGGCACACGCAUACACAUGCCACCACACACAGAUACAUACUGACACACAUGAAGAUACACAGAUACAAACACUGUCACACAUGCAGAUGUACAGACACAGAGAUACAAAUACUGCCACACAUUCAGUCACACAGACACACAUGCUGAUAAAGACACACAGAUACACAUACUGACACACAGGGCCAUCAGAAAUUUGGGGGCCUCUGACAAAGCUUAAGGUCUGGACCCCCGAGGGCCACUGUCCAUCGGGUAGCCUUAAUUGCAUGGGCCACCCAAUGGAGCCACUCAACAUGCGGUUCCCAGCCCAUGCAGUACAGUUGCUCCUCCGCCAUUAAUAUAGUUUUUUACUCCCUGGAGUACUGGAUUGUACCCUUGGGGGGUACGCAUACAACAAGUUGGGAACCGCUGCUUUAGAUGUUCCAUGUUAAAUGUGGAUAAUUUUUACAAGUGUUAUUUUUUUAUUUUUCUCAAUACCCCUGUCUCUGUGAAUAAGUGGUAUAUGACUGUUUGAAACUACUCUGCUGUGAUGGCUGUACUUUCCCUCUAUUAUCUUUGUGAAUGUGGCGCAGAGAGGAAAUAAGAUUAAAAUUCAAGCUGAUUCUCUUACAUAUCAUUUUACUUGUCUUGGCACCGUUAAAGAAACACCUUUUGAAGCAAUCCAUGCCCUUUUUUCCUAUACAGAGAAUAGAGUUGAAUUCAAUAUAAAAUCUUUCUAUAUGUGUUUUCAGGUACAGAAUUUGCCAAACAUAUUAUUCCAAUGGAUCCAAUCACAAUCUUACUUUCCAUCAUCUGUAUAUCUUUCCUAUAUUUUUCCUAUGGUCGGAGUAAAAGCAAGUAUUGGAAUUUCCCCCCUGGACCAUAUGCCUUACCAAUCAUAGGAAAUAUACACCAUUUAGAUUUGAAGAAGCCAAACAAAUCAUUGAUCCAGGUACUGUUCACUUAUACGAAACAUAUUAAAUUAGACAUUCUUGGAAGUCAUUUUUGAUUAGAGUGUUGGAUUACAAUGAUUGGGGUAUGAGUAGAAGAUGGGCAAAAUAGACAGAAAUAAGCCAGAUUUCAUUUUUAGGGGCAUGCCUGUGUCUAAAUACAUUCUAAGAGUACCAAGAAUAUAUUUUUUAUUUCUUUAGAUGUGAAUGGGGGGCGGGGCUGUUUCUGAGACCUGUUAUAAACCAGUAUCUUUGUAAAGAGCAACAUUAUUAUGUCAAAUAUUAGUCUUGUUUUUUUUAAUUACUGUGAAGGUAAUAUCUGCACCAUAGACUUUGAAACAGAGAAAAGGAUUCAUAUUAUUAGCUGAUUUUAACCAUCCAACUGUAUGUUUUGCGAGUGGAUUUUGUGGCUGUCCCUACUAAAUGCAUCAAGCAGAAGUGAUAAUAAGAUGUAGUAAGCGUUACCAGGAGGUCAGUCUCCAUUCUUCUACAUGGCUGAAGAGGUCCAUUCAUGAUACCAUUGACUUCAGAUCAUAUUGCUCCUAAUAAUAGCUGGCAACUAACUGGUAAUGCCUUUUUUCUGAAUCUCUGUGCAAUAGUUUUACAAUGACUGCAAUUUUUCCAGCUUGGAAAAGUUACAUUUUAAAUGGGGAAAAAAAACUUUCUUGCCAAAUUACACAUAUAUGUAUAAUGCCAAAUUACAAUAGUCCUAACAUAUAUUUUUGAAAUAGGCACUCAUGCCUACAUGCAGAGAAUGUAGAAUAUGAAUAACAUUUCAAUAAAAAAAGAAAUAAUGGUCCUCAACAUAUUACAAUAUAGAGGCUCAAAGUCAUGUAUUGUCUGAAAGAAUAUGGCAAUAUUCAAAAGGAUAAUCAAAAUGGUGUCCUAAAUAUUUUAGGAAGGGUCAACACGUCAUUUAAAUUAUUUGACAUAGCAACUUAAAGGGGAAAAACAGAAACUUUCCCCAUGAAAUAGCUAUUUGUGGCCUGGUUGAUAUUCAGUUUUCUGGGGUCUAAUAUUGAUUCCCUCUAGGACCUAUAAGUAUAUUAUAUAUUGAAAAUAAUUAGUGAGAAUCAGGGCCGUCUUUAAUAACGAAUGGACCCUGGGCAAGUGUUUGCUUGGGCCCCCUGUGCCCUGCCGCUCUCGCCCCUCACUCCCUGGUAUGCAAUCACGGCAUCCAUCCCAACGCAGUGCCGGUACUAAAGUAGAAUGAAUUUUAUUGGGACCCCCAAUUGCAAGGUUGGACUAAAGGUAGAACCCCAUCUGUUGUGCAACUCCAACAAUGCUUUGACAGCUGGGACUCUACCAAUUUCCCAUGCUUGCAGGGUUGUAUUUAGCACUGAGCCAUGUUAGUAUGUUUGAAUGUAAGCAUGUGUUUGUAUGGAGUAUGUUUGUGUGAAUGUGUUUGUAUGUGGUACUGGAGUUUGAAUGCAAGUGUGCAUUUAUGUGUAGUGUUUGUUUUUGAAUGUAGGAGUGUGCUUGUAUGUAGUGUUGACGUUUCAAUGCAGGAGUGUGUUUUAUAUGUAGUGUUGAAGUUUGAAUGGAGGGGUGUAUUUGUAUUUAAAGUUGCGGCUCAGAUGCACAGGUACACACUCUGACGCACAAGCAGAUACACAGAUACAUACACUGACUACAUACAGAUAAACAGGCACAUACACUGACAGACACACUGACACAGGUACAUAUAUUGACACACACACAGACACAUACACUGGUAGACGUACUGACAGACAUACUGACACAGGCACAUAUACAGACAUACUGACACACAGACACAUAUACCGACAUACUGACACACAGACACAACAUACUGACACACACACACAGACACAUACACUGAUCAACAUACUGACACACAUACACUGACAGAAAUACUGACACCCACACACUGACAGAUAUACUGACACCCACACACUGACAGAUAUACUGACACCCACAUACACUGAGAAAUACUGACACACACACACACAGGCACAUACACUGACACACACAGACUGAUAUAAUGACACACACACACACAGACAGAUAUACUGACACAUGCAUACACAUGCACUAACAGACAUACUGACACACUGACAGACAUACUGACACAUACACAUACUGACACACACAGAUAUACACACACAUAUAUACUGACACACAGACAGACAGACAUACUGACACACACACAGACAUACUGACACACACACAGACAUGCUGACACACACCACACACACAAACACACACACACACACACACACACACACACACACACACACACACACACACACACACACACACACACACACUCACACACACACACACACACUAACACACAUAAACACACACAUACAUACACUAACACACACAUACACUAACACACAAACACAUACACUAACACACAUACACCAACACACACAAACACACACAUACAUACACUAACACACACAUACACUAACACACAAACACUAACACACACAUACACACACAAACAAACACACACACUAACACACACAUACACACAAACACACAUUUUUUUUUUUAAAUGUAAUCCCCCCAGCCUCCUUACCUUUUGGAGUGCUGGGGGGAUUCCCUGGGUCCAGUGGUGCUGCUGGGCUCCUGGGCGGGUGGCCGGUCGGGCAGGAAGGCGGGCGCGCGAGGGAGCACUCACUGCUUCCUCUUCAGCUCCCUCGUGCGCCGAGUAGGGAUGCCGGCGCCGGAAGAUGACGUCAUCUUCCGGCUCCGGCAUCAGUGCGGUGCGCGAGGGAGCUGAAGAGGAAGCAGUGAGUGCUCCCUCGCGCGCCCGCCUUCCUGCCCGACUGACCACCCGCCCGCCGGGGUCAGCGGGGCCCACGGGGCAGGUGCCUCGGGCCCCCCAAGAGAAACUGGGCCCGGGGCAGCUGCCCCGUUUGCCCCGCGUUAAAGACGGCCCUGUGCAGAAUAAGUUGGCGCUAUAUAAAUAGCAAUAAUAAUAAGAGGAGAAUUAGUAUUAUGAGGAGGAAAGAUAAGAAGCUCAGACUUAGAGAGAAUGAGUUUUAAACAUCAAGGAGGACAUCCAAUCAAAAAGGUUAGAGAGGUAACUGGUGGCAUGUACACGAACAGUAGGAAAGAGAAAAGGGGAGAAGAGAUUUAUCUAAGUGCCAUUGGCAUAAAGGUGGCAGAAAAAUUCAAAGGAAUUAAUACGUUUGACAAGAGAGACAAUGUAAAGAGAACGCAAGAGGGGACCCUAGAACAGGGCCGUAGGGGACUCCAACCGAGUCAGUAAUAGGGAGGAAGUGUUAUUAGAAAAGGAGACACUGAAUUUGGGAGAGAGAGGAUGAGAACCACAAAAGGACAGUGUCACAGAGAUGGAAAGAACAAAGAGUUUGCAUAAGGAGAGCAUGAUCCACAGUGUAAAAGGCAGCAGAGAGGUCGGGAAGAAUUAGUAUGGAAUUGUGGCCUCGGAUUUACCGCGAUUAGAUUAUUAGUUACUUCAGUAAAAACAAUCUCAGUAGAAUUGGGUUGGCAGAAGCUAGAGUGAAGAGGGUCAAGGAGAGAGCUGGAGUUGAGCAAGCAUGUUGGACUGGUAAAGACAAAUUGUUACAGAGAAAGGGAGUAGAGAUAUGGGAAGGUACUUAGAUGGGGAACACUGGUCAAGAGAUGAAUUUUUAGGAUAGGUAAGACAAUGCCAGAAGAAAGAGAGCAGUUGAAGAUAUGCAUAAAGAUGAAACAAGAUAAGGGGAGAGAGAUCUGAUAAAGUGAGAUUAAAUGGAAUCGAGGGGACAAGUGGUGGGGCAAGAGCAAAGGAGAAGCGCAGCCACCUCCUGUUCCUGUUCUGUCCAGUAGCUGGGGAGAAGGCCUGAAGGGUUCUAAAGGCACAGUCCAAAUGUGUAUAAUCAAACAGGUCAAAAAUACUUGGAAUGAAGUACUUAGAAAGGAAAACUUUUUCAAUCAGAAUAACAGACCACAUAUUUCAGAUAUCAUGAGUAUUAUUGAUGACAAAUUGACAUAUGUUUAUUUUUAUAUGUUGACAGCAUAAUAAUAUGUUUUCAGAAAGAUAUGGACUAUGAAAUAAUUUAGUAAAUUGGGCCAGAACUUUGAUAUUAAAGAACAUGGAGAUUUUAAUCACUACCUUAUUCAAAUGAUAGUGCUGCAACAGUGGUGGUAGUGUACCAUGCAGGCCUGUAACACCCUGUCAACAUACUGUGAAAAGGGUGCUGCAACAUGGAAAAGGAACUCUCCAAAUUGUUACAAUUAGCAGCAACCAAGAAUCCAAUCUUAAUUCAAUAUGUAGGUGCUGAUUUGGCAUUAAACCACAUGCAUUGCAAGACUACAAGUGGUUAUUUUUUCAGGGCAGAGAAGAGGCCAUCUUUACCGAGUUGCACUUUCUUCACCUGAAGUACAGAUAAUCAACACACACUUGUAAGUCCCACUCCAAGGGCCAAGGUUAAUACAAUACCAGUGUGCACUGAAUGUGCUCAGGCUCACCUUAGUACAGUCAGUGAAGGUAGUGAUUGUCCAGGAAAGAAAUCUUUAAGUGACUAAUAGUGACAUUCCAUCUCUCGUGACACUCAAACAAUACCUCUCCCUAUCAGGCCCCCUACUUUCAGUCUACACUAGACACAUGGGUUAUACUCUCACUGAGUGUGGAGCUAACCCUAUAGCCUAUCCUGAUGAACAUAUGGUAACCUCCACCAGGUGCAAUGUUUACCCCAUUUGUGUGUAAAGGCUACAAGCAAACAAUGUUAUUUCCUUAGAGUGAGUUUCUGCACUUGCAUAUCAGUGAAAGUGGAUAGUAGUGGGUAUUUGUCCAUCAUUAAUAUUACAUGUCAGUGAAUGUGUGCAUUUAUCAUUGAGUUCUAAAUCAUCCUCAAUGGUGUGAGACGGAUGGUUUUGGAGGAGGGGGAUGAGAUGAGAAGGAUAGUAUGGGAAGUGGGCAUGUUACGGACUGAUAAAUGGGGAGUGCAAUGAGGAAACAUCAUUAAAUUUGGUAAUGGGGGCUAUAUAGUCUGCUGAAUAUUUGGCUUUUAUUAAAAAGAAAAAAAAAAGAAAAAAAAAAUUAACAGAAAUGUAAUGUAAUAGAACUGCAUGAUAAAUUGGUCCUUAUUGCUGGUUAAAUGAAUUACAUUUAGUGCCCAGUUGGCAUCAGCAUUGUGGCAGCAUUGUGGGGUCAAGUAGGGAAAUUGACACCCUUUAGUGGCAUAAAGAAAGUUAUGAAACCACUACACUAGGGUUCCGUUUCAAGCUACAAAACUGCAUACAACUUAGAGAUCAAGUUCACCUUGAUUUGAAACUAUGCCUUCAGAGGCACAGUAUGGGUGCAUAGUGCAAACAUUUUGAGGUAGAAGGAUACACAAAAUGUAUGUGUUGUGAUGAAAGCUUUACCAAGUCCGGUUAUUUAUAUAGCAGGAACAGACUGUAGUAGUGAUUAUCUGUAUCAUGAAUAUGAAGGACACAGUUAAAACCAGAAACACAAGGCAUUUACUAAGUGGUGACAGGAUGUCAUCCAGAACAGUUGACAGAACUGAUUUCCUCAACUGAAUAACAGUUGGGGGAAAGUUAAUGUAAUGAGUUUAUGCACACAGCCAGCAAAGAGAUGUACCGGUAUAUAUGGUGUUCAUGGAAAUGCAGUCUGUUGGAGAUAUAGUCAGUUCAAGAAAAACAAUGACAAAUAAGACACUUCUUGUUUUGGUAGGGCGUAGGUAAAUUAAUAUUGCAGAAGUAGGCAGCAAUUAAACAAUUUUAAAGUGUAUGUGUCAUUUAAUUUUGAAAAGAUAUAAGGAGGGAAUUAUCUAUACAUUGUGCUAGGAUAAAUUAUUGCAAAUGGAUCCACAGGGUAAUUUACUAAAGCUUAAAUGGCCGCUUACCAAUUAUGGCAAAACCAUAUCUGGUUGCUUAUGGGGCCAUUUGGGCUGCACAAUGGACAUGUUUCACACUAUUUAAAAUAACACUGUAGUCAACUAGACCACUUCAUUGAGAUGAUGUCCCUGUCCUCUUGCAGUUUGGUCCUCAAUAAGGAGCAUCAGAUUGGACCAUCAUAGAGAAGGCCUUAUCUUCUCUGUGAGGUCACUGGGGUAGGAGAGUUAAGCAGCUUUGAGGGAACCUUGCAACUGGAACAAGGUAAGUAAAAAAGGGUUUUUGACCCUUUCUAUGUUGAAUGUGGGGGUCGGGGGACUUAAUACCACUAGGGGCAGGAAUAUUAAAACAUUAGAAGUACAGAAGUAUUCCUUUAACAAUGUCCAGAUUUUUGUCCAGAUUUUACAAAGUUUGUUUAGAAUGAACCUGAAUUUGAUUCGACUCAUCAAAUACUGCCAGAAGGCUGACAUCUGGAUUGUUAAAAACCAGGCUGGGGCACUAAACUCUGCCCAAAUUUGAAAAUGUUUAACUAUUUGCCGUGGGCAGCGCUAAGGUUAAGAUGCAAAAAGCACUCGUUUUCAACCAGACGCCAAAUGCACCCAGUUAACUGACUAGAAUUAGCGUUAUUAAAUAUGAGAAUUGCCAUUCUGGUCUGAUCAAUUGUCAGUAUAGAACUCUAUGCAGAUAUUUAAGUGCAGGACAAACACUCUAAAUUUUUCUUGCUCUCCAUUUCAGCAAAUAAAAAAAGUGCAAUCUCAACAUCAACCAAUUUGCUGCCCUGCUGUAACUUAACAAAACCAAUGCUACAUUUGAGAGUGAGGAGUUCAGAAUAAUUNNNNNNNNNNNNNNNNNNNNNNNNNNNNNNNNNNNNNNNNNNNNNNNNNNNNNNNNNNNNNNNNNNNNNNNNNNNNNNNNNNNNNNNNNNNNNNNNNNNNGGAGCACUCACUGCUUCCUCUUCAGCUCCCUCGCUCGCCGCUUAGGGAUGCCGGCGCCGGAAGAUGACGUCAUCUUCCGGCUCCGGCAUCAGUGCGGUGCGCGCGGGAGCUGAAUAGGAAGCAGUGAGUGCUCCCUUGCGCGCCCGCCUUCCUGCCCGACCGGCCACCCGCCCGCCGGGGUAAGCAGGGCCAACGGGGCAGGUGCCUCGGGCCCCCCAAGAGAAACUGGGCCCGGGGCAGCUGCCCCGUUUGCCCCGCGUUAAAGACGGCCCUGGUGAGAAUAGUGCAUUGUUGACUCAGUUACAAAUACUGUUAUGGCAUGUGUCCAAUCCAAUAUGUCAUGUAUCUAAAAAAAAUCCCUAUCCAUAAAAAAAAAAAAUCACAUAUUAUUAUUAUUUUUUUGCACUUUGCAGCUCUCUGAGAAGUACGGCUCAGUAUUCAGCAUUCAGAUAGGAUCCGAUAAGAGAGUUGUGCUCUGUGGAUAUGAAACAGUGAAAGAUGCUCUUGUUAACCACGCAGAUGAGUUUGCUGGAAGACCCAGAAUGGUGCUGUUUGAUGAGAUAUUUUUGGAACAUGGUAACUGAAAUGAAAUAUAUCUAUAAUAACUUUUAUGGGGGGAUACAAGAUUAGCUACAUUAGCUAUGCUCAAUUGUCUACUGAUCCCCAUCUUGGAAGCGUUUACCAGCCUUAGCCAGACCUCCAGUGCUUGUGACUUUAUACACUUUAUGUAAAGAGAAAUCAAAACGUCCUUUAUUUAAUUUAGAAUUACAUAUCACCUGCUCUAUGAAUACCCUGCUAGAGCAUGCACCAAAGGCUCUUCGCAAGAGCAAGGGAUACUCUAAGAUCCAAAACAACUUUCACUUAAUGAAGCAGUUUGGGUGUAUAGAGCAUGCCUCUGCAGUCUCACUUCUCAAUUCUCUGCCAUUUAGGAAUGUAAUUACUUUUAUUUCUGUUUACGCUUUCCUCACCACACUUCACUGCAGUUGACUUACACAAGUGAUCUGACAGCACAAUGUGUUUACUUUGGAAAUUUUGUUAAGAUUUAGAACCAAGGACUGGUUAAGAUUUAGAACCAAGGACUGGUCAUAGAGGUAGACCGGCAGAGGUGUGCCCUCUUCAGACGUUUUAUAGCCCGGUACAGGAGAGAGCCUUGGCACAUCGCUUGAAUAGAGAUGGAGAGAAUCCAUUCCCUUUGGAGCAGCUUUCUGAUCUCCUUGUGAAGAGUGUAAUUCUUGAGGCUGUAAGCUUCAGGAUAUCUUGGAUCAAGUCGAUGGUGAAACCCAGGAAUUGGAUCUCUUGUAGUGAAGAGAGUUCCGAUUUCUCCGCAUUGAUGACUAAGACCACUUUCUGCAGUAGGAGUGACACUGUCAACAGGAGCCAACAGGACAAUGUCAUCCAGGUAUACUAUGGAACAAAUGUCUUGUUCAUGAAUGAAAGCCAUAACCUCCUUUUAGGAGCAUUGUUAGGGCUCCUAAGCACAAUGGGGCUGAGCUGAGGCCAAACGAGAGACAGAUGAAAUGCCAGAAGUUGUGACCCCACAGGAACUGGAGAUAAUGCCUGUGAGACUCGUGAAGGUAAGCAUCCUUCAGGCCCAGUCUGAAGAACUAGGCACCCUCUCAGAGCAAGUCUGUCAGAGGAUGGAUACCCUCCAUCUUGAAAUGACGAUAAGUCAUUAAAGCGCUAAGGUUGCACAGAUUGAUGACCGGACGUAAGUACAAGACCAAAGUAUAGAUGUUUUACCAUAAUGCACCGCACCACAUUUGGCAAAAGCCAAUCACAGCAUAUCAGAGAAAACACCCCAUACCAACUGUCGAGCACGGUGGCGGAGGGGUGAUAAUUUAAGUUUGUUUUGCAGCCACAGGUCCUGGGAACCUUGCAGUCAUCGAGUAGACCAUGAAUCCCUUUGUAUACUAAAGUCUUCUAGAGUCAAAUGUGAAGCCACCAUCUAUCUGACAGCUAAAGCCUGGCCAAAAUUGAGUAAUGCAACAGGACAAUGAUCCCAAUCACACCAGCAAAACUACAACAGAAUGUCUGAAAAAGAAAAAGAAUCAACUUGUUGCAAUGUCCCAGGCAUAUUCCAGAACUCAACCCAAUUGUAAUGCUGUGGCUGGACCUCAAGAGAGCUGUGCAUAAAACAAAUGCCAGCAAACAUCAAUGAACUGAAGCAACGUUAUAAAGAAGAGUGGGACAAAAUUCUUUGACAACAAUGUGACAUACUGAUAAAGUCAUAGAGAAGAUUAUUAUUUAAAGUUGUUGCUACUAAAGAUGGUUCUACAAUCUAUUGAAUCAUAAGGUGUACUUCGUUUUUCACACAUGGCUUUAUUUUUGUUAAAUAAACCAUAACACGGUGUAAUAUAUCAUGUGGUGUUGUUCUUCAUCUGAAGUUGUAGUCACCUAAUUUUAAGACCUGCUAAGGAAUAGUUGAUUGUUACUAUAACCGGAUGUAUAAAACCAUAUAAUUCAAAGAGGGAUUACUUAAUUUUCCCCAUGACUGUGUAUGUAUAUAUGUAGAAAAGGCAGUAUAAGACACGAUAGAGAGGUUAGAUUCAUUAAAAGGGCUAAGGUAUUCAAAAAGGGUGAUGUUUUUCUUCUAAAUUUCUAGCUAAAAUAAAUUGAUACAUCCAAAACUAGUGGAAAAUCAAACAGCACAGAGAAUGUUACAGUUACUGAGCAACAACUGAAAAACUGCAGAAAUUCUUGCAAUUUAUUAGAGAGACGUUGUCACUUGAACAAAUUGAUAACAUAAGAUAUAUAAUAAUAAUAUGAUAACAUAUAAAAUCUAAACUCACAUUGUAGGCACAUGUGAAGCUCAAGAGAAAGCUGAUAAAAAAUAUUAUAAUCUAUGUAAUUAAACACUGUGCCGUCAAGGGAACCAAGUAAUUACACAAUGGAAUAAAAAACACUAAAUGAAGCAACAACCGGAAAAUAAAAUGAAAACGAUGAAUAUGACACAUUGCACUAGGAACGCACACAAAUACAUAGAUAAAUAACUGGUGACAAGUAGUAGCGCACAUAGCAUAGAUGGAGAACAAUGGAUGCCCUUAGAAAAAGAGUAAAACAAAAUGGAAUAUGAGAAUGGGUAAGAAGUGGAGAGAAGGAAAACAAUCAAGAGGUAGAAAAAAAGGACAGGGAAAGAUGUAGUUGUAAUCAUAACUGAUAUUAAUUGAUGUGUUGUGCUGUUUUCUACACAGGUGUUAUAUUUUCCCGCGAUGAAAACUGGAAGGUAAUGAGACGAUUUAGUCUUUCAACUCUGCGAGAUUUUGGAAUGGGAAAGAAAACCAUAGAAAAUAAGAUCUAUGAAGAAUAUGAUUCUCUAACACAAAAGUUUCACUCUUAUAAUGGUCAGUGUUCAACUGCAGUAAAUGUCGUUUUGUUGUGUUCUGCCAUUUAAUGAGAGUGUAAGUAGAACAUAUUACUAAUGCUUUCUGUUACAUUUACGGGAGAAUUUGUAUAAACUGUCUAAAAUACUGCACCUGCUGAAUUCAAUUUUGCUGCAAGUGUUGUCUUGUCAUGUAUAUGAAAGUGUAAAUUCAAUUAUUUUAUGUUAUUGUAUAUGGAGGAAUAUGGCAAAGUUUAGUUGAGCGUCUUUCUGUCUUAAUCUCAUCCUUCUCUCUGUCUUUGAAAUUUUAUUUAAUGGAAUACUCCAAGCACCAUAUACAGUUACUGGUGCUGUCCCUGCAUAACCAGUCAAAUCUUUUUUAGCAUGGUUUGAAAUUUACUAGACUACAGAUGAGUGCCUGUGCUGCUUCCAGUCUUCUUUAACAGGAGAGGCCUGAUGCUAAUACAGACAUUCAUUCAUUGGCUGAGAUUGCCAACUAAGUGCUCUCAGCCAGUGGAUGUCUUGAAUCUGUUUCCCAGCUUCCCCAACUCUGAGAGGACAAGGUGAAGAACCCAUGCACGGUGAGACCCAGGGAAGUUUUAAACCUUGUUAAAACACUUUGACAGUUUUGGCAGCAAGAGUGCAAUGUCCCUCCUGGCACCAAAACUACAACAGAAGGCUGUAGUAGUUAUGGCACUUGGAAUAUUAAUUACUAAUGUUGAAGGACUAAGGAGAUGAAUAAAAUGGAUUUAAGCAGGUAUAUUAAUAUAUACUAUUCUUACUGUACAUACAAGUAGAAGUAUCUUGGAGUAGUAAAAGAGUAACGUAUUCACAAGAAUACUGUAUUAAACAUGAAUGUGAUAUGUGAUAGAAUGUGAUGGCAGAUAAGAACCAUUCGGCCCAUCUAGUCUGCCCAAUUUUAUUCUAAAUACUUUAAUUAGUCCCUUGCCUUAUCUUAUAGCUAGGAUAGCCUUAUGCCUAUCCCACGCAUGCUUAAACUCCUUUACUGUGUUAACCUCUACCACUUCAGCUGGAAGGCUAUCCCAUGCAUUCACUCUCAGUAAAGUAAUACUUCCUGAUAUUAUUUUUAAACAGUGUACAAUACUCCAAGAGAGUUAAAAUUUGUACCAAGAGACCUUAACAUUCUCUUAAAAUCAAGUUGUAGGUUAGUCUUUACCCAUUUGCUGUGUUUAACCCUCCACCUUUCUCUAAAAAUGUUCCAUCAUUUCAAUCUGUCUGUGUUAGCAAAAUAAUAAUAAUUAUAAUAUAUAAUAAUUUGCGAUUCUUAUAGCGCUUUCCUCCCUGUGAGACUCAAAAUAGUGUACUUACAAGCUAUUGCAUUGAUCUUUCAGCUCAUGUAUAUUGCAUUCUAAUAGCAAACUUGACAGGUGCACAGUCGGAUUUGCCGGCAUAUGCGCUAACCUUACCCCAACCCCCAUUAAAACACGGACACAGGUUAUACUGUUGGAAAUAAUUUGUCCACAGCUUUAUUAAAUUAUUAAUAAAUAAUUAAGGAAUAACAAAUGGGGUCAUUGCCAACAAAUCUUAAUAAUGUUAACCUCCCCCAUAUACAUAACAUACCCCUAGCAAUGACCCCACAAUAAUAACAAUAGAUAACAAUAUAAAUAACAUGUUAACACAGAAACUGGCCGUCCAAUUUGACCACAUUUCCACCAGGUUAAAUUGUAGGGGUGUACCGAGACACCGCUACCCACCAUAUCCAUUGUAGGGGUGUACCAAGACACCGCUACCCACCAUAUCCAUUGUAGGGGUGUACCAAGACACCGCUACCCACCAGUUCCAGUGUAGGGUGUACCAAGACACCACCACACCCCCAGGUUCGGAGCCACCGACGGGCUCGAACCUACCAACCACGUGCAACACUGCCCAAUCCACACUAAACCUCAGGAUGCCCACUUUCUCCUCCAUCUACCCUCCGAUUUAACCAGGCCAUUCCCCGCCGCUGUGAAAAAACGGGAAAUCAACUAACCUAACCAAAUACAGGGAGGGUGGGAGGGACAACUGACAGGUAAGCUUAGGUUCAGUUAAAAUGGCCACUUCACAUAAUGGCUGGUAUAAAUACUCCCCUUAUGGCUCCGCCCUACCCAGCAUGCUAGCUGUCACUAAAUUCCUGUGGCUGCUAUGCCUACCUCCUGGCUCUGUCAAGGCCUAUUCCUCUUAGCUGCGCUGAUCCAUGGGCUACAUGACAGGCGCACAGUCGGAUUUGCCGGCAUAUGCGCUAACCUUACCCCAACCCCCAUUAAAACACGGACACAGGUUAUACUGUUGGAAAUAAUUUGUCCACAGCUUUAUUAAAUUAUUAAUAAAUAAUUAAGGAAUAACAAAUGGGGUCAUUGCCAACAAAUCUUAAUAAUGUUAACCUCCCCCAUAUACAUAACAUACCCCUAGCAAUGACCCCACAAUAAUAACAAUAGAUAACAAUAUAAAUAACAUGUUAACACAGAAACUGGCCGUCCAAUUUGACCACAUUUCCACCAGGUUAAAUUGUAGGGGUGUACCGAGACACCGCUACCCACCAUAUCCAUUGUAGGGGUGUACCAAGACACCGCUACCCACCAUAUCCAUUGUAGGGGUGUACCAAGACACCGCUACCCACCAGUUCCAGUGUAGGGUGUACCAAGACACCACCACACCCCCAGGUUCGGAGCCACCGACGGGCUCGAACCUACCAACCACGUGCAACACUGCCCAAUCCACACUAAACCUCAGGAUGCCCACUUUCUCCUCCAUCUACCCUCCGAUUUAACCAGGCCAUUCCCCGCCACAGCUCAGGACUUGACACCUAAAGCUCCUGAGCGACCCCCACCACACCGGAAUAAGGCCUGUUGAAUGCCUUCCUGAAGGCCCAAUUUAAACAGAUCACACCUUACAUCCGAAAAUGUACCCCAUCCCACCUGGAGUACCCAGGGAGCUUUCCUCCCAAUUCGUUGUGUCUCACUGUUACACCGCCCCCACAUCUGAUAAAUACCGCCAUCAAUUUUUUAUUAAGUCGUCCUCGACACCGAGCUACCACGGCCGGGUACGUAGUAUGUCUCCAAUGUAACCAAGGAACCAUCUCGGACCGCACCACCACCACACCCGUGGCCAGCUCCCAUAGCUGGUCCACCUCCCUCUGCCUCCACCUGAUCAAUUCCUUUUCCGGGACCAUGCCAAUAUCCAGAAUGUCCUGGAAAGUACCCUUUGUUACCUCCCGGAAAAAUUUCUCCCCUAAUGUCUUGCCACCAAAAUCCCUGAAAAACAAAACCACUCCUGCUCCACCAAUUUCAAAGGAAAGCCCAGUUACGUUUGAACUGAAACGCGGCUCCCAUCUGUGCCCCUUAGAUAUAAGAAUGACCCACCAACCAUGUCACCAAACCUGAAACGAAAGUAAUUAGCGACACGGCAUAGCCCCAAACACAAACCCAUACGUCCAUAGCCAUUAAACCAAAUAGACUGGCCUGAAACAGGACUUAAACCGUACUGACUCCCACCUGCCUAAACGUUUCCCUAGGUCCUCACUUAAAACCAGGUGGGGUGCCUCUGUUACCGCCAUCACCUGGGAAGAAUGGGUCCCAAAGUGCCCGGGAUCCAAACCCAACAUUGUCAAACCCCUUCGAACAAACACCUGCGGGAAUUGAAUCGUGACAGCACCGAUCUGUCCCCUUUUACCAGUAAGCCACCCGGGAUGUCCGGGCAAAGCUCCAAGUAGCAUGAUGCGCUUAACACCGGGCGUACCCCUGACCCCGGCAGGGAAUAUAGCUUUACCAAACCUCCUUUACCAGACACAUUCGUUCUUGAACAACCCUACUGAAUCGUUACCUUAACCGACUAAGGUUCGACAACCAAGUGUAGAACUCCCCAACACCUGCCCGAAGGCACUCACCAGUUCCCCAAUCCAAAUUGCCCCAAGCCUCCGAGAAGGCCACCGCAAGCAAACUCACUGCAAAAGUAGGGUAAUACACCACCAGGCGUUGCGUUACCCAAGGAAACCCGCCGCCCGGCACCGACAUAUUUCAUAUCUCUCCGUAAGACCCGCGAUGCCUGACGGACGUGACAACGUUCCGUCACUUCCUCCCAAUCAGUCAGUUUAAACCCUAACGACAAUGCCACCAUGCUCCUGUCCAUUGCUGAUGGAGCUAACGCUGAACAAACAAACGGCUUAGGAACCACAGCAAGGUAUCCCUUCGCCCCUCCUUUGACUGGGCCCCCACAGUGAAACCAACCGCCUUGUCCCACAUAUCUCAAACGUUCACAUAGGCAGUCCCUCUGCCCGGUGCCAUAGGAUUCUGUAUCGAUCCUCCAAGCAUGGCGUCUCGAGCUGCCACAUUUCCUCCAGACUGGACAGUCCCUCCUCCCGCGCCCCCUGGGGCCGCCAUUCGCAGCUUGUCCCCUUGUGCGCGAGCCAAGUAACCAGCCCCUACCUUCCGCCAACCAGGCACGUGGCGUGCCUGCACCCGAUACCUGAACAGUGAUACGAAUCGCCGCCAUCGGCGUACCUCCUGAACCGAGGACCCGGCUGGAUGGUAAACCACACGAACCCCGCCGUAUUGUGCGUGAAUUAUGACUUUUCAUCCCUUAAUCCUUCACCUUUUAGAGCCACAGCCACUCCCAAUUGAAAUAACUCAAAAGAUGCCAACGUCGAAUAAGAGGACUUACCUUUCAUGCCUCCCACCACCGCUCUGCGCACCACCUGCCUUCCAGGUAUGCCCCGGAAUCUAUGUUCCCAGAGGUAUCUGUGAACAACUCGAUACCACCCGCAAAGGCUCCACAAGUAGCCUUCGCCAUGAAAUGGCUACCGACCCAGUCCUCGCGACUAACCCGACAUGCAACUUGAAACUGCCUUAUGAACAACUGCGAUUUCUCAGUGACCUUCUUGGACCUGCGAACCUUCAGCCUGAACUCCCGAAGUGCAGUCAACUGAACCCCAGGAAAUCGACACUCACCUACCACCGAAACAAUUUCCAGUCCAAGCAAAGACGUGCGGUAGGAUUCCCGUGACCGUAAGGUAUGUCCACAACGGCCCGGCCCAGCCGAGCCCACACAGCAAGCUAUCUUACAGAUAAUGUACUAAGGAACCCCUUUCUGAUUCCUUUUUCACCUCCCACUCCCAGACGGAUCCAACUUCCCGAGUAGGAACAUGAAUGGAACUGCCCCUUGGCAAGUAGAGGUUACCAAUAGGAACCUGCAAACAUGCAACCCAAAAGAUGGAAGGGUCGCCAAUAAUCGAACGCGUCCUGUUCCCCCAAACCAACUCGACGGCAAGGCCGAAUGAUGCCAACGAUACAGAACAGUUCCGCGGCGAUGUCCUCAUUUACCGAUGCCCCUUUUGGGUGCGAUAAGUUUUGUAUUGGACAGAAUUUGCCCGCCCAUUUCUAGGGGACCACCCCCCAUGGAGAAACCCACAGGUCCGCUAAUGGCGCGGAAGUUCCCCCAUGGACUUGAUAUUCGCCCACCACUUUUCCUGGUCCCUCGACUUUGAAUGGAAUAGCGUAAACCCCCUCAACAAUCUCAGCCAUAAAACUAGCGCAUUCAUGGGAGGCUUACUGCCUUAGCCACAGCAGCAAUGCACUGAUCAUCACUGGUGCCGCUCCGAGCCGCAACCGCGGGGCUGAAGCCCUGCCGAGUACCCUUCCUGCCUUAGGUUUUCCUUUUUUGACGCGUCAGUUGACACCGUGACUCCCACCGCCUCCGGAACACCCGUAUCGAAGCCUACCCGACGGUCCCCAGUUGUACUGACCUUUCUUCUGUCCAGCCAGCACAGCACCUCCUGGGGGUGCGCCGUCAGCCCCCGGAAAGAGCGCAUUUCCUGCACUGUCAUUAGGAACCACCCCUUUUAAAUCAAUGAACUCCUCGAGCGGAAGACAGAAUUUUUAUAUAUAUAUAUAUAUAUAUAUUUUUUUUUUUUAAUCCCCUUUAUCAAAUCUUAUCCUCCACCUUCAAGUGCCCCCCAAUGUCCCCGCGAAGGACACGUGCCCAUUUUGUUGUGCCACGCCUGGAAUAUUGCCACACAUCUAACUGUUCUCCUGCCCCGUCAGAUGUCCCCGGUACCGGUACACCGUAUUCCCCUUCCCUUACCCGGCACGCCGUCACCACCACCCUUUCAUUCGGCCUCCCGACUGCGCUCUGGUGACCCCACCCUUCGGCACUGCGGGGACAGCCCCUUUUUUCCUUGAUCAUGACUCUAAAAUGAUUUAUGCAAUUUAAAAAAGUGUGGUGUGUUUAUGGACUCACCGCCCGAACCUCCAUCUGCGCUGUCCUUCCAUCCACCUUGCCAGGCUCUGGAGUAUCCGGUGGAUGCCGACUCCUGUCCGCGCUGGUCCAGCCUCAAGCCCGUAGAAGUAACACUCCUCGACCUGCUUCUCCAUCCCUCAUCCGACCUCCCACUGCUGCUGUGCCUGUCAUUGUCGUUGCGCUGCUCCCUGCCGUACUCACACCUGCUGAUGCUCCUCCUGUGUUCCUGCUCCUGAGAACACCCCCCAGGGGGCUCCCACUUGCCUCUGUGCCUUACGUCCAUUUCCUCUCGUCUGCCCUCUGCUUGCAGUACCUGGCCUCUCCCAGGCCGCCUCAUCCACUUGUGGCCCCUUUAAUUAAUCCUGGUUGCUGGCCUUCCCCUCCAUAGCUGCUCUGCUGUGCCUGUGAAGACUCCGCCUGCUGCUUUCACUAUCCGCUUCCUUCACCUCUGACCUGACCCUGGCCCCAUCCAGGGCCGCCUCCGUCUGUGUCCCGCCGACCUGGACCCCCCCGCCUGCCCAUUGGGGGGGGGGGGACCGCUUUUACACUGCUGGUAUGCCACCAGGGGCAGACUCACCAGGACGCCUCUUGCAGCUCUUCCUGCCUGGCGGCCAUCAUGUCAUGCUGGAUUCCGCCAUCCUUUGUGCUUUCCCGCCCCCCCGCCUUAUUGCAGGGGGCGCUCUUACUGUGCGGCCUCAUCCUGACCUGCCGUCUUGCCUGACCGGCGCCGCGUCGAACAUACGGCGCCAGCCGCCCUCCAACUCCUGCCUGCUUUCCGACCUCAUUCUCAGCCUUCCCCUUGCCGCCUCCUGACAGGCUCACGGGCUGCCGAACUAACGAUGUCACUCACAGGCUGCCGCUGGGGCGUCCUCGCUCUCCUUGCUGGCCUCUGUUCCACCGCCGCGUGGGGGGGGGGGGGUAGCAGACGUGCUCGGGGCCCCCCAGCUGCUCCUGCAGCCACCAGCCCCGAUUCUGCCACAACCUUUGUGACCAGGAUGGUGGCUUGCUUGGAGUUCUGUCUGAGGCUGAUGGGAGUGAGCAUGCAGCAGCAGCAGCUCACUCCAGCCUCUCCUGUACCUCCAUGCUGUCUCCUGUACCUCCAUGCUGCCUCUGUUCUUCUAUGCUGCCUCCAUGCUGCAGAUGGGAGUGAGCAUGCAGUAGCAGCAGCUCACUCCAGCCUCUCCUGUACCUCCAUGCUGUCUCCUGUCUCAGUACUGCCUGUUCUCCAUGCUGCUGAUGGGAGUGAUCAUGUAGUAGCAGCUCACUCCAGCCUCUCCUGUAUCUCCAUGCUGUCUCCUGUCUCAGUACUGCCUGUUCUUCUAUGCUGCCUCCAUGCUGCAGAUGGGAGUGAUCAUGUAGUAGCAGCUCACUCCAGCCUCUCCUGUACCUCCAUGCUGCCUCCUGUCUCAGUACUGCCUGUUCUUCAUGCUGCCUGUUCUUCAUGCUGCCUGUUCUGCUAUGCUGCCUGUUCUGCUAUGCUGCCUCCAUGCUGCUGCCUUCUCCCUCCAGGGCAGGCAGCUUUCACAACUGACAGGUAAGCUUAGGUUCAGUUAAAAUGGCCACUUCAUAUAAUGGCUGGUAUAAAUACUCCCCUUAUGGCUCCCCCCUACCCAGCAUUCUAGCUGUCACUAAAUUCCUGUGGCUGCUAUGCCUACCUCCUGGCUCUGUCAAGGCCUAUUCCUCUUAGCUGCGCUGAUCCAUGGGCUACAAUAUGUUUACUUGAUUGGGUGUACUGUUUUCAAUUUGUAAGCAUUUCUUUUGUUCAUGAGCAGUUCUCACUUUUAAGAUUAAGUCUAGGAAACAUUCUGCAGAAUAAUGCAAAAUACAUAAUUAUUUGGUUUAAAGUCAUUAUCUUCUUGAUUCAGUAAUAAUAAGAUGAACAUAUAAAUAAAAUAUGUAUACUUACACGUGUACAUUCAUAUAUACUUAACUCUGUCAUUUAAAUGUUGCACGGAUAGUGAACAAGUAACCUUUCUGUUUUGUUUAGUUUGGCUUAUGCUGAAACUAUAACAUUUGUUGCCAUCCAAGAUUAGUGGGAGAUUGACCACAGAACUUUAUAUCUUCCACACACUGGGUGAUAUUUGUGUCUUCCUCACUUUCGGAAACCUCUGUGCAGUAUCUUUGCACUCUUUUGUGCGGCUAUGCAUCAUUUAUUUGUUUUCUGGGCAAAUCAUGAGAGCACCACUAAUCCUUUUAGGUAGGAUUUAACCCAAUAGUGAUACGGCAGUGGGAAAAGAUCAGGAAUAGAAAAGUACAGUUAGUAUGUUAAGAUGAUUCAGUUUUCUUGAUUAACCAGGGCAACAUCACUAUUGAGAUCCUACAUUUCAGCAUUAGUGAUGCUGCCAUGGGAAAAGACUGAGAAAAAAUUUAUACCGGUAAAUAUGGAAACAUUUUUCUGUUUUUUCUUUAAUUACAGGGAAACCUUUUGAGAAUACAUGGAUAAUUAACGCUGCUGUAGCCAACAUUAUUGUGUCCCUACUUCUUGAUCGUCGUUUUGAAUAUGAUGAUCCAACCAUUUUAAGGCUCAUGCAUUUAGUAAAUGAAAUUGCCAGACUUCUGGGAACUCCUACGGCAUUGGUAAUUAAUUCGACACCAUUUCAAUACAUUGUUUUAUUAUUUUUGCUUUGAUCUGUGCCAUCUCUGCUCUUUUGUCUGGCAUGCAGCAAUGCUGUAGGAUGUAAUAUACCAUCCAGUAGUUUAGAAAGGUGGUUGUAGCAGAAUAGCCACAGUGGAGGAUAAACAUUUUACAUACAUAUGUGUUUUAAACUAUUUAUGACAAUUUUAUUAUUACACAUUACAUGUUAAACUUAUUUUAAGAAAAAACUUGCUAUCAACAAAUUGUGUGCAUGACAGAUCCACCUUAAGAACAGUUAAGUUGACAAAGACUCUGACUUGGAGGACCAAUAAUGGCUGGGUACGCCCAAUCACAUCUCUCUUUCUGAUAUCAUGUGAAAUGCGUAAACAUAUAGUGACAGUUUUGUAAACACAAUUCCAGAGUUAUCAAAUCAGUUACAGUCAUGUUUGACCAAAGAUAAAACUCACAUGGAUCUAUGAACAAUGAACUGUGUGUUAGUUGACAGACUUAUGGGAUACAGUAAAAUGCACAUAACUUAUAUAAACAUUGUAACAUGUUCUAAAUCCAUUCUGUUUGUUUCUUCAAGUUGUAUAAUGUAUUUCCUUCUUUGCUGCAAUGGUUGCCUGGAAGCCACAAAACCGUUGUCAAAAACAUGGAAGAGCUGAGAAGCUUUGUUAGAGAGACUUUCACAUCACACAGGAAUCAUCUAGACAUCAAUGACCAGAGAAACCUUGUAGAUACAUUCCUUGUCAAACAAAAAGAGGUAUUAUUGAAUUUUCUUGAACUCCUUAUUCCUGCAUUGUGUUUGCCUAUGGUUGCGGUACAGUAACAAGCCACUAGAGGGCAUUUCAGAUUUCUUAAAGAACCACUAUAGGGUCAGGAACACAAACAUGUGUUCCUGACCCUAUAGUGUUUAAUCUACCAUUUAGGAUUAGAAAAGGCGAAAACCUUAUUUUUAGCACCACGUGGGUCUGCUGACGCUGAUCCCACCAUGAUCCACCUCCUUGGAGACAUCAUCAUCAGAAUUGCCGAUUUUUAGCCAAUCCAAUACUUUCCCUUAGGGAAGUCGGCAAGGAGGCAUGAUGGGGGCGGGGCUAACACUGCUGUGUUGAAUUUGUUGCAAAGAAAUGCUGGAGUUUGAAAGUCACUUUUCUUAAAUCAAAUCCAAUCUCGUAAAGUUUAAGUUAUUCCUAUAAAACCCAAUUGUGUAGGCAGAUCAAGAUUGCAAGAUCCACAGCCGGUUAUCUAUGAUUCUUUCAGUAUGUAUGUUUAACAAGGUUUUCACUUAGGUAUGACUGACUUUAAAGUCUUUGAAAAGAUCUUUGAAACAGUACCUAAAUUACACAAAUUACACAAUUCCCACCUAUCCAUUAAAACAAAUUCAAAUAGCACACUGACCGCAGUCCACUCUUUCAAAUACUUGGGUAUGUUGUUAGACCCCAAUCUAUCUUUUGGCCUGCACAUAUAAAAGCUUGCAUCUAAACUUUAUCCAAAACUAGGUGCCCUGUACAGAAACAAAUCCUGCCUAAGCCCUACAGUAAAGGAAAAGAUUGUACAGCAACUGCUGAUGCCAAUCAUUGAUUAUGGGGAUGUAGUAUAUGCAUCUGCACCGCAAUCCCACAUUGAUAAACUCAACACAUUUUAUAACUCGUUCUGCCAAGUUGUGCUACAAUGUAAUUACAGGACCCACCAUUGUGACAUGCUAAAAGAACUAAACUGGCUGUCGCUGGAAUCCAGACGCACCCUUCAUCUUUCCAGCCUUGUGUUUAAGAGCUUUUCUGGGAAACUCCCACCCUACUUGAACAAAAUGCUCUCCUCGGCUGUUCCCACCUCCUAUAACCUCCGAUCCAGUACCACCACUUUAUUUAGUCUACCUCAAUACAAAAAGAAAGCAGCCUGUUCCUCCUCCUACAGAGCGCCGCAAUUGUGGAACGACCUCCCGCACACUUUAAAAUCUUCCCCAAGCCUAAAGUCCUUUAAGAGAUCCCUCUCUACAUACCUCAAAACAGAAUGCACGUGUUAUGGUUGAUGUUAAAUUUUGUAUAUAUUGUGUAUUAAUAUUGUUUUUGUAUUUUAUUGUACCAUAAUGUAUCAAUGCAAUGUUUUGUUGACCCAGGACAUACUUGAAAACAAGAGAAAUUUCAGUUGUAUCUUUCCUGGUAAAAUAUUUUAUAAAUAAAUAAAGUGAAUUUCAGAUUGUAGGGUAAAAUAGUGGAACUGAAAACAUAGUCCACCUAUACCACCACUGUUGCAUUUGUUAGCACUUUAUAAAUAAAGUGAUUAUUUUGAUUAUUUAUUCAUCCUUAGAGGUCAUACAUCUUUUUUUUUUUUUUAAACUUUCCUAGCAAUCAACUCUUUCCUAUAUGAAUUAGCUUGUUGUGUAAUAAAACCCCACUCCUUUUAGAAUAUAAAAAUGUUUUAGUUGGCCACGGCAUCUUCUGUUUCUAUAUGUCCAUAUAUUUUUGCAGCUACUGGCUUGCAAGUCCAUCUAUUGUAUAGAUAAUAAUAGUGAAAAUGAUACCCUGUAAUGGUGUAUAAUUUCUUAAUGAAUAUUUCAACAGGAAAAGCCUAAUCCUGAUUUAUAUUUCAAUGACAAGAACCUUACAACUCUUAUGAUUGAUUUAUUUGCUGCUGGGAUGGAGACAACCUCUACAACGCUACGCUGGGGUCUUCUGCUAAUGAUGAAAUAUCCAGAAAUUCAGAGUGAGUAUUCUCUUUGCCCUAAUGAAUUUUGGUUUAACUCUGUACUAGUACUCUAAAUGGACCAAAGGCUUUGGAAGAUGAAUGCAAUAUAGGUUAUAUACCAUUUUUUAAAUAGUUUUCCUUUGUAAGAUCACCAUUUAGCAGCAUAACUGGGCUCCUUGUUUAUAUUAUUGAAGCAGCCAGCACAGCCUUUCCUUAAACCAAUAUGACUUUUGGGAAGUGUGUAAUUGAUAACAUAAUAUAAACCAUAACACUGAAGCGUAAAUUAUAUAAAGAUAAUACAAUUGGCACACAUAAUUUAGACUUUUAUUAUGAUGUCACCAGAACUUCUACCAUAAGGGAAAAAAGUAUUUGAUCCCCUGCUGAUUUUGAGUUGUUGCCCACUGACAAAGAAAUGAUCAGUCCAUAAUUUUAAUGGUAGGUGUAUUUUAACAGUGAGAGACAGAAUAAAAACAAAAAAUUCAAAAAAAUGCAUGUCAAAAAAGUUAUAAAUUGAUUUGCAUGUCAAUGAGCGAAAUCAGCAUUUGACCCUUUUGACUUAGUACUUGGUGGAAAAACCCUUGAUGACAAUCACAAAGGUCAGACGUUUCUUGUAGUUGGCCACCAGGUUUGCACACAUCUCAGAAGGGAUUUUGUCCCACUCCUCUUUGCAGAUCAUCUCCAAGUCUUUAAAGGACCACUCUAGUGCCAGGAAAACAUACUCGUUUUCCUGGCACUAUAGUGCCCUGAGGGUGCCCCCACCCUCAGGGACCCCCUCCCGCCCGGCUCUGGAAGGGGGAAAGGGGUUAAAACUUACCUUUUUCCAGCGCUGGGCGGGGAGCUCUCCUCCCCCGAUCCUCCUCCGUUCCUCCUCCUGGGCUGAAUGCGCACGCGCGGCAAGAGCUGCGCAUGCAUUCAGCCGGUCACAUAGGAAAGCAUUCAUAAUGCUUUCCUAUGGACGCUGGCGUGCUCUCACUGUGAAAAUCACAGUGAGAAGCACGCAAGCGCCUCUAGUGGCUGUCAAUGAGACAGCCACUAGAGGAUUAGGGGGAAGGCUUAACCCAUUCAUAAAUAUAGCAGUUUCUCUGAAACUGCUAUGUUUAUGAAAAAAUGGGUUAACCCUAGCUGGACCUGGCACCCAGACCACCUCGUUAAGCUGAAAUGGUCUGGGUGCCUAGAGUGGUCCUUUAAGGUUUCGAGUGUGACAUUUGGCAACUCAAACCUUCAUCUCCCCAUACAGAUUUUCUAUGGGAUUAAGGUCUGGAGGCGGACUAGGCAACUCCAGAAUCUUAAUGUGCUUCUUGAACCACUCCUUUGUUUUUCAUUGUCAUGCUGGAAAACUGAUCCAUGACCCAUUUUCAAAGCCCUGGCCAAAGGAAGGAGGUUCUCACCCAAGAUUUGAUGGUACAUGGCCCCGUCCAUCAUUCCUUUGAUGCGAUGCAGUUGUCCUGUCCCCUUAGCAGAAAAACACCCCCAAAGCAUAAUGUUUCCACCUCCAUGUUUGACGGUGGGGAGGUUCUUGGGGUCAUAGGCAGCAUUCCUCCUCCUCCAUACACGACAAGUUGCGUUGAUGCCAAAGAGCUCGAUUUUGGUCUUAUCUGACCACAAAACCCAGUUCUCCUCUGAAUCAUUCAAAUGUUCACUGGCAAGCUUCAAAUGGGCCAGUACUUGUGCUUUCUUGAGCAGGCGGACCUUGUGGGCGCUGCAGGAUUUCAGUCCUUCAUGGCGUAGUGUGUUACCAAUUGUUUUCUUGGCAACUAUGAUCCCAGCUGCCUAGAGAUCAUUAACAAGAUCCUCACUUGUAAUUCUGGGCUGAUUCCUCACCAUUCUCAUGAUCAUUGAAACUCCAUUCCCCCAGACUGAGGAAGACUGACAGUUAUUUUGUGUUUCUUCCAAUCACACCCACGGUUGUCACCUUCUUACCAAGCUACCCAUUCCAGCCCAUUCAAGCCUUUUGUAGGUCUACAAUCAUGUCCCUGACAUCAUUGGACAGCUCUUUGGUCUUGGCCAUGGUGGAGAGUUUGAAAUCUGAUUGAUUGAUUGCUUCUGUGGACAGGUGUCUUUUAUACAGGUAACAAGCUGAGAUUAGGAGCACUCCCUUUAAGAGAGUGCAACUAAUCUCAGUUCAUUACCUGUAUAAAAGACACCUGCAAGCCAGAAAUCUUACUGAUUGAUAGGGGAUCAAAUACUUAUUUCACUCAUUGACAUGCAAAUCAAUUUAUAACUUUUUUGGCAUGCGCUUUUCUGUAUUUUUUUAUUUUGUUAUUCUGUCUCUCACUGUUAAAAUAACCUACCAUUAAAAAUAUAGACUGAUCAUUUCUUUGUCAGUGAGUAUACGUUCAAAAUUAGCAGGGGUUCAAAUACCCUUUUUACCUCACUAUAUAAUAGUAUUAUUUACCUAUGUACUUCAUCUUUUACCAUUAUGCAUUUAUUUAAUUCCUCUAAAACAACUCUUACUAGAGCAGAAGUAGGCAUCCUUCUGCACUCCAGAUGUUGUGGACUACAUCACCCCUCCUGAUUUGCAAGCAUUUUACUAAAGCUAUCAUUAUAAUUAUUAGAAUUUAUAUAAGGUCAACUUAUUCCGCAGCACUUAAUCCGGGGGAGGGGGGUGGGUGGGGGGGGUUUAAGCAAAAAAUGAGACAAUUACAAAAUGUUACAGGAACAAUAGGUCGAUGAGGACCCUGCUCAAAAGAAUUUACCAUAGAAGAGAUGGGAUAUAAAUACAUAAUAAAAAGAGCAGUGUGCAUGGGCGGUGAGGGGGGAGAUAGCAACCAAGUGACCAGGUGGGAAAGUAGCAGAACUAGAAGGUUAAAGUGGAGUGUAACUCUUUAAGAGAGAGCAAGAGAGAGGUUUGUGAAAUAAAAGUUACUCUGGAAGGCCAUAAGCUUUUCUGAAGAGAUGGGUUUUGAGAAACUUCAUGGUUGAAGACAAGGGAAGACUCUGAUGGGGGUAAGAAGGCUUUUCCAAAGGAAUGGAGCUGCACGUGAGAAGUCCCACAAGAGUAAGGUGUCGGUAAGUAUAUGAGCAGUGGACAGGAGACGAUUGGGAGCUAAAGUUGUUAAGAGUUUUACAUGCAACUAUUAAUAUUUUAAGUUGACUCCUAUAGGGUACAGGAAUCCAAUGUAAGGAUUGCCAGAGAGGUGAGGUGUGAGAAGAAUGACAGUAAAGAAAUAUCAGCCUGGUGGCAGUGUUCAUUACAAAUUGUAGCGAGGCAAUACGGUUUGUGGGGUGACCAAUUAGAAGAGAAUUGCAGUAAUCAAUGUGAGAAAUUACUACUUAGCAAUGUUCCUUAACAGCAUAGGGUAUAAGAAAGGUGCAGAUGCAGGUUUUAAGGGUGGGAUCGGCAGGAUGUGUUAACAGACUGGAUGUAAGGCAUAAAGGUGAAGCCAGAAUCAAAGUUAACACCAAGACAGUGGGUUUGCAAGUAUGAACUGAUGCAAAUGUCAUCAGCUUGCAGUGAGAGUGAAAGAGGAGGAUCAUUAUUAUGAGAUGUAAAAAUAAGGUCAGUUUUAGAAAGGUUGAGUUUCAGAAAGAGGGAGGACAUAAAAUCAAAAAUGAAAGGAAAGCAACCAGUGACAUGUUCUAGGACAGCAGGAGAGAGAUUAUGGCACGGCAGUCAUAUCUGGGUCAUCCGCAUACAGGUAAUGGUAAUGGAACACAAUGGAAUUCAUAUGUUUGCCAAGAGAGAUAGUGUCACCGGAGAUGGGACUCCUCGUACAUGUUCCCUUAGUUAUACUUUGUAUCGUCUAAUGUUUCCCUGCAUUCGAAUCGAAUUGUUCCCUUCUGUUCAGUUACCAAACAGAUUAUGUGGGGUUGCCUUGUUAGCAAAUCAUGUUUAGGCUUGAUUGGAAGAUUGUGCUUGUCCCAUUCUAAAUAUGAUAAAAAUGAGGCUUAAAUAUUAAUAUGUGGAUAGGUAUUAAUGUCUCUUUUGGAUAUGAUAUUGGAACACAAGGCUUGUUCAUAGCAAAUGACUCCUUAUCUAAGAGGGAAUCAAGACAUAUGGCAAAUGAGACUUAGUUUAUACUGAAACCAGACUUCCCGGCCACUUAUGUGUGACUUCUCACACUUCACAGCGUAGUUCGGUAUGGGCCCCAGCUUCAAAGAGGAAUUUAGGUUGUAAGCUCUGACCUCCUAUACAAUCAAAUUAACCCCUUUUGAAAUUGCCAAUACCACCUCUACCAAGCAGCCAGUCCAUAUAUGCAUAAACAUAACUUUUGUUUUACCAAAUUGAUUGGAGCGCUUUUUAGAUGUUGCGCGCUCAGAUCGGGAAUAUAUUUUUGUGGGGUUCCGAUGCUGUUGUCAUAUAUGUGACAGAACGCCUGUCUUGCCUCCAUCAGUUGAUGCUCCUAGUGCUCACCGAGGACUCCAAGCACUCCACUUCCAGCGUUACAGAUUGGCUGGGAACUCGCCAUCCACCACCCACCCUGAACUCAAGGCCAGGAUCCAGCUUCCAGUGGAUGGACCUUUCCUACUCCAGAGACCAUAGCAGGAACAGCUCUUAAAAGAGCUAGUGAUUAUAAUCCCAGGGGAGUAUAGUGAUAUAGCAAUCCCUAGGUUAGAUACAGCUGUUUCCCCCAGACAUGAGAUGAGACUCUAUGUUGAGGAUAAGCAGGAACAGAAGUUUAAUGGAAGCACACUGGCCUUUUAUGCAAGUUUCCCAACAAGUGUGACACCCAGGUGGACCUUGUUGGGCCAGGAACACAAAGUGAAUAAACCUAUUAAAACAGAGUAUUCAGUGAAACACUCCCAUACACUUCGGAGAUAAUUGAAUCAGGAACUGUACUAAUCGAACCCAAUUAUCUUCAAGCACAUAAAAACACACAUUUUUACAAAGUUCAAUAAGUACUCCAAAACAAAACACAUACCCUGAUAAUUCUGAUCUGGGUGAACAACAUAUCCAAAAAUCACCCAUAUCAGAGCAGGGGUUUAGGAAAUUCCUAGAAGUUUCUUUUUGACCGACCGCAUGCAUGGUUUCAUGCCCAAAACAGUUACAAAGAAUUAGGCUGUGCAGCUGGUCUAUUUCAAACCAUCGAAGUAUUGUUCAAAUUACCAAACGUAAUGGUGAAUGAACAUAGUCAAUUUGUGUCCCUUGUUCGUGGGCUUCCACUCAUCGAACGCCGUUCGACUAACGUUCGAAUAGCCGAAGUUCCCUGGAAGGUAACUGUUAAGCAGUGUUCGAGGCCAUCGCAUGUCCGAUUUGAGUUCCAUGAACUCGAUGACAAAACACCACUGAACACGUUCGAUCAAAUAAUAUGGCCGCCGCCACAUGUUUGAUUGUCGAAUGGCAGCCACUUCUACUACUUUGACUACUUCGACUGUUUGAAGUGCCAAUUCGAAAGUUCGAAGACCAUUGUUCCAAGUCCCAAUAGGCACAAAUAGUAUCUUUAACCCACAGUUCACCAAAGGGACAUAGUCACAGGGCAGGAGGCUGGCAAAGAGGCCCCUCCAAAAAACAGUGGCGAGGUCACUUUUGCCUCAAUAUAUUUAUGUGAUAUGUAAAUUGGUAUGUAAGUUUUCCUAUUUGACAGAUAAUUGCUUGUAGGAAGGAAGCCCCUGUGAUUUUGUAUUAGAAACUCCAUGCUAGGGGCACUGCAUAAAACACAGAUUGUGGCCUAAUAAAGUUCAGAUUGCUGCUUUUGCCCAAUAUGACUGGUUGCGUCCAUUAAAUUGGGGAAACUCUACACAAAGGGAAUACUUUAACUAUAUUCAGCACAUCUGCAAUAAGAACUAGUGGAGGAUUGAAUGAAUAACAGCAAUAGAUUCAUGAACCUGUGACAGAUAGUAUAAAGGAAAAACUAAAUGGGACCAAGAACAGAGUCUUGGGGUGCUCCAACCGAGACAGAAUGAGAGGAGAAGAGAUGUUAUUUGAAAAGGAUGAACGUUGGGAGAGAUAGGAUGAUAACCAUGAGAGGACAGUGUCACAGAUACCGAGGGACUAAAGACUUUGAAGAAUGACAUGAUCAACAGUGUCAAAGGCAGCAAAGAGGUCUAGUAAAAUGUGUACAGAGUAGUGGUCUUUGCAUUAAGAAGCUAUUAGACCACGCUAUUUAAACUAACUUAUGAUAGAAGAGGGCUGAGGAGAGAGUUGCAAUUGAAAAAACAUGCCAGACGGGUAAAGACAAGUUGUUCCAGAAGCUUUGAGCAGAGAUAGUUACAUAGUUACAUAGUUACAUAGCUGAAAAGAGACUUGCGUCCAUCAAAUUCAGCCUUCCUCACAUAUGUUUUUGCUGUUGAUGCAAAAGAUAUGGGACCAUAGUUAGAAGGGGAAGACUGAUCAAGAUAUGGUUGGUUGAAGGGGAAAAAAGAGAGCAGUUAAAAAUAUGCGUUAUGGAUGGCAUAAGAAAAGGGGAGAGAGAUCUGAUAUGGUGAGAUGGGACAAAGUGGUGGUAAGAAAGGAAAGAAACACAGACCACCUCCUGUUAAGUAGCUGGGAGGAGGCCUGGACAGUAGGAAAAGCAAAGUCCAAGUGCAGUUGAAAGACAGAAAGGAGUAAAGGGGAAAGUAUUCAUUCCUUAAUCGGUCUUAGUCUUGUCAGUAAAAUAUCAUGCAAAGCUAUCAUCUGAAUUUAAAGUCGAUUUUUACAUUUAAGGACAGAGUAGCUAAAUUAAAAACAUAGCUGACUGAUUUUUUUAUAGUUUUGCUAUUUUGACCAUAAAGUGGAAAUUGAUUUUGAAAUCUCAGUUUAGUAAUUUAUCCAGCGUUUUUAAAGAUGUUGAAAACAGCAUAUAUAUUUAAAGAGUAACUGUCUCUAACUCAAUUUUAGUACCACUUGAUAGUUCGCUUAAAUUCAGCUAUUGGUUGUGCUAUUUUAUUAUUUUCUUCAAAAUUCUUUUCAUAUACAUUUAUUUUCAUUUAUAUUCUUUGACUUGUGUGUAAACUAGUUAAACCUUGAGGUACACACAGCUCAUGAUUGCAUACAAGAAGGCAUCAUGGCAUGGAAAACUCAAAUCACUGAAACAAUGAAGUGCAUCAAAGGCGAGUUAUUGACUUACCUCUGAAGCAUUAUGCACUCAGUAAAUGUCGCAAUAGUGUUUGCUGCAUGUGUUUAAACAAGUUAUAGUUCUCGAUAUGACAGCUCCUUUUAAAGUAAUCAGAUCUAUACAUUAAUGGGAAUGUUUACUUAUUACCAAACAAACAACUAAUGACUAAAUAUAUAUCAUGAUAAAAGAAAUGAAUGGGUAAGAAAGAUGCAUUUAGCUUAGCAACUUGUUACAACUACUUUUUUGUUAGUCCACCUAAUGGACAGCACUAUGACAUUUUCUGGCCCUUUUAAAUAAUAAAAAUAAUAAUAACUUCAUUCCAAGAGCUGCUACUUUUUCAUUUUCCUAUAUAAAAAUAAAUUCAAGAUCGGCACAUGGAGAAUCUUUUAGAAGAUUAUUACCAAGUCUAAGAAAUUUCACCAUCCAAUUUUAAGGAAAGAAGGGGUUAUCAGAUUAUAUGUUUAUUAAUUAUAAAGGUGUUUUUUCUGCAUUUACUGGUUACAGUAAAGGUCCAAAAUGAAAUAGAGAAAGUGAUUGGAUUAGUUCAACCCCAGACAGAACAUCGUAAAGAAAUGCCAUAUACAGAUGCAGUUGUUCAUGAAAUCCAAAGAUUUGGUGAUAUUGUGCCAGGAAAUCUUCCACACGCGACCACUCAAGAUAUCACAUUCAAAGGAUAUUUUAUACCAAAGGCAGGUAUCUUUUUUUUUUUUUUUUAUAUAUAUAAUAAUGGUUAUAUUAUAUAUCAAAUAUAUAUUAUAUUCCAUUUAUUAGUACCUAUUUAAAAAAGAAUGUUAAACAUGGAACAGCAAUAUUGUAACAAAGUCAAAUUCCUUGCCUCUCAGCCAUUAUAUGUGAUGUCACUUUCCGGUGCCUGUGAUCCUAUUAUGUAUGGCACAAGAUUUCUGGUUCUCUGACACAGCUAAUAGUUGGUAAUGUCAAUAUUUGCUUAGUGCUAAGAUUCUGAUUAAAAAAAUAUUUGUUACUUUUUGUAUGAUAGAGGUCUUAAGAAAAAGCUCAAGCCAUAGAUUGAAUCAAGACAUUUAACAAUAUUGAAUUUGAUAAUUUUUGAUCUAUCACUAAUUUUUCAGCCCUUAAAAUAGGCUUAUUGAAUUUGCGAGCAAAAAGCUGUUGAUAAAUGAGUUUUCAUGCCUUAAAACCAUAAACACUCCACUGAAUAGUGUGGGCAUGCCUACUAAACACUCAAUGCAUGGUAAUUGAGAAGCAGGGCAUGUUACAUAGUGAGUUAGCUCAGUGGAACUACCAAACUGUAAAAACAUGUCUAUGAAACUGUGAGGACAUGUCUACUAAACAGUAAAGGACAUAUCUACUAAACAGUCACUGUAAUUAAAGACUAGCGACUGGCUAGGUAUUGCUGUACAGACUCACCCCACCAUGCUCAGUAUUUAAAAUUCAACUAGUCAAUUUUGAUGCAAAGAUUUAAAAGAUACUAAUUCAUACAAUCACACAAAAAAAUAAAAGUACAAGCUAGUCUAACUGAAACACAUGUCACUCACUAAAAUCAUUAAUUCCCAAUAAAAUGAAAUCAGUAUUGCCAUUUAAUUCAGAAGAUGAGCUAUUUUAUGAUAGAGCCUCAACAGCAUCAGGAACAGCAGGGCAAGGCUGGUCAACCACACAGACCACUGAGGACCACUAAAGUCAUACCCAGGAGAGUUUUGUUGGAAUCCUUGAGAGAUGUGGAAAUAGUGGAGAGAUUUCACUUAAUCUGUACAAGUCACCUGAGAUUGUAUGAUAUUCUUAACCUCGUCACUAACCAGCACUUUGCAAAACAACCCCCUCCAGAAUCUGAGUAAUUUUAGUGUCCUGGAAAGUAAUGUUUAAAUAAUGUUUUUAUUUUAGUAUACAUAAAUGGCACAAAACAGAAAAACUUUUUAAAAAUCAAUGACCAAAUAUGACAAUUACAGACAAGGAAACUAUGUUGUAAAUAAUUACAUAUAUAUGUUUUGUAUAAUUUUAAUUUGUCAUUUUUUUUAAGGGUACACACGUUAUACCAUUACUAACAUCAGUACUGAAAGAUAAGGCUCACUUUGAGAAACCAGAAGAGUUUUACCCUCAGCAUUUCCUUGACUCUGAAGGAAACUUUGUAAAAAGAGAAGCAUUUAUACCUUUUUCUGCAGGUGAGUGCUUUCUAAAUAUAUAUGACAACCAUGCGGGAACUACUUCAGAAAUAGAAGCCAAACAUAUAGAGCUUGUGUUCAUUAAUAUCAUUGUAUGACUGUUAUAUAAUGAUUAUAUGACUGUUCAAUAAUGCAUGCCAAAUACACAGUCAAUAUUUAGACUUUUUCCUUAGUGACUAUGCAUUUUAGAUCUCAUGCAGCAUUUUGAAUUUUCAUAGUUUACAUAAAAGGAACACUAUAGGGUCAGGAACACAAGCAUGUAUUCCUGACCCUAUAGUGCUAAACCCAACUUUUAGGUGGCUUUCCCCCAUUAGCCCAUUAAAAGCAAUAAAAACUCAUCUUUUUUCCAGCACUGUGCCCCCUUGGUGACAUCAUCAGAAUUGCCAAUUUUUAACCAAUCCAAUGCUUUUCCAUAGGGAAAGCAUUUGAUUGGCUAAAAUUGGCAAGGGGCGGGGCCAAACACUAUUUUGGCCAAUCAGCACCUCCUCAUAGAGAUGCAUUGAAUCAAUGCAUCUCUAUGAGGAAAAUUCAGCGUCCAUAUGCAGAGCGUGGAGACGCUGAAUGGCAGAGCUGCCUACUGUGCAGCACUGAGCUAGGAAGCACCUCCAGUGAUCAUCUGAUAAAUGGUCACUUCGAGGUGUCCCUAGGAGCACUGUAAACACAGCUUUUCCUCUGAAAAUACAGUGCUUCCAUUAAAAUGCAUCAAGGCAAUAAUUCUACUCACCAGAACAACUACAUUAAGCUGUAGUUUUUCUGGUGACUAUACUGUCCCUUUACGUCAGCUGAAAAACAAACUGUAUCUAGGGGUACAUAAAGUAACAAUGUAUUUGAACAUUCACAGACACUUUUUUUAUUUCUAGGUCGAAGAAGUUGUGUUGGAGAGAAUUUAGCAAAAAUGGAAUUAUUCCUGUUCUUUACACGGCUUCUGCAGAACUUCACGUUUAAGGCUCCACCUGGUGAAGAGCUUGACAUCACCCCUGCACUUGGGUUUACCAGCCCUCCAAAGGCUUAUAAUAUGUGUGCAAUACCUCGAAACUAACCCUAUGAUUAAUAUGAACAUGUGAUUAUUCACCCAUAAUGCCACAAAUAUAUUUAAAAAUGAAAGCUUUUUCUUAGGAGAUAAUUUCUGCUAUAGGAACACUCAUCACUUAUAAAACAAUAUUUUACAGUGUUCAUUAGACACCUAAAGCAUAGGAAUAGGCUUAUUAUACAGCACAUUUUGUUUAAAGGGUUCACCAAGCACCAUGGCCACUUCACUGAUUUGAAGUGAUCAUGGUGCCUGGAAUCUGUAAAUGCUGCAUAUCGCUUUGAAACACUGCACAUGUUUAGAUUUGAGAAACCACUCUGCUCCCAGAGGUGUAUCUCAGCUCCCGGCAGCAUCAUAGAGGUGUCAUCAGCCAGCCCAGAACUAGAAUUCCAUGCUGACUAAUGUCUGUUCUGUGCAACAUUCGUAGUACAGAAUGAUAGUCAUUGAGUAAGAGCAGUCAGCUGACACUCUCAGCCUAUGAAUGUCAACCACCACAGCUGCAGAGCUGUGACAGAUAAAAGCACUUCACUGACCACCAGGGAGCCUCGUAGCCCGGCGGGACUCAGACAACAGAGGCAAAACAUUACUAAGCUGGGAACCAGGCCAGGGUACUCCUGUCAUUAUAACCAUUAAUUGUUAUGAUACUGGGAGUAACACUUUAAGGUUCUGAUCUUUUGCAGUCUGUCAUCCUAUUAUUGCUGCCCUUUUUUUUACCUAUUAUCACUGGAGCUAUAUCAACCAUAGAAACAUAGAAUGUGACGGCAGAUAAGAACCAUUCAGCCCAUCUAGUCUGCCCAAUUUUCUAAAUAAGCAUUGAAUUGUUAUUGAUGUAGUGAAUGUUACAUAUUUUGCUACUCUAUAUAAUAAUAAGUGUUUUAUUAAGUAGUGUCUGAAUGUUUAUUUAGAGUUGAAUUAUUAAUAAAAUAU